rnacentral:rRNA from 1 species
UACGGGGGGAGCAAGCGUUGUUCGGAUUUACUGGGCGUAAAGGGCGCGUAGGCGGCCACCGCAAGUCGGUUGUGAAAUCUCCGGGCUUAACCCGGAAAGGUCAGCCGAUACUGCGGGGCUAGAGUGCAGAAGGGGCAACUGGAAUUCUCGGUGUAGCGGUGAAAUGCGUAGAUAUCGGGAGGAACACCAGUGGCGAAGGCGGCAUCCUGGACCGGCAUUGACGCUGAGGCGCGAAAGCCAGGGGAGCAAACGGG